rnacentral:rRNA from 1 species
GGUCCAGCCUGCCCAGUGACUCUGUUCAACGGCCGCGGUAUCCUAACCGUGCGAAGGUAGCGUAAUCACUUGUUCUUUAAAUGAGGACUAGUAUGAAUGGCACCACGAAGGUUACACUGUCUCCUUUUUCUAAUCAGUGAAACUAAUCCCCCCGUGAAGAAGCGGGGAUAAAUUUAUAAGACGAGAAGACCCUAUGGAGCUUCAAACUAAAUAACACUUGCUUUUAUAUAACUUUACUUCAGAGUAGUUAACACCUAUUUCAGCCCCCUGAUUAUUAGUUUUAGGUUGGGGUGACCGCGGAAUAAAAAAUAACCUCCACAUUGAAUGGGGUUUAGGCCCCUGAGCUACGAGCUACAACUCUAAGCACCAAUAAAUUGACAUUAAUUGACCCAAUAUAUUGAUCAACGAACCAAGUUACCCUAGGGAUAACAGCGCAAUCCGCUUUAAGAGCUCCUAUCGACAAGCGGGUUUACGACCUCGAUGUUGGAUCAGGGUAUCCCAGUGGUGCAGCCGCUACUA